UACGGGGGGAGCAAGCGUUGUUCGGAUUUACUGGGCGUAAAGGGCGCGUAGGCGGUCAGCACAAGUCUGGCGUGAAAGCCCAAGGCUCAGCCUUGGAAGUGCGCUCGAAACGGCGAGGCUGGAGUGCCGGAGGGGAGAGUGGAAUUCCCGGUGUAGCGGUGAAAUGCGUAGAGAUCGGGAGGAAUACCGGUGGCGAAAGCGACUCUCUGGACGGCAACUGACGCUGAGGCACGAAAGCGUGGGGAGCGAACAGG
rnacentral:rRNA from 1 species